UACGUAGGGGGCAAGCGUUGCUCGGAAUCACUGGGCGUAAAGCGCACGUAGGCGGACUCUUAAGUCAGGGGUGAAAUCCUGGAGCUCAACUCCAGAACUGCCUUUGAUACUGGGAGUCUUGAGUUCGGGAGAGGUGAGUGGAACUGCGAGUGUAGAGGUGAAAUUCGUAGAUAUUCGCAAGAACACCAGUGGCGAAGGCGGCUCACUGGCCCGAUACUGACGCUGAGGUGCGAAAGCGUGGGGAGCAAACAGG
rnacentral:rRNA from 1 species